rnacentral:rRNA from 1 species
GCUCGUAGGUGGUUUGUCGCGUUGUUCGUGAAAACUCACAGCUUAACUGUGGGCGUGCGGGCGAUACGGGCAGACUUGAGUACUGCAGGGGAGACUGGAAUUCCUGGUGUAGCGGUGGAAUGCGCAGAUAUCAGGAGGAACACCGGUGGCGAAGGCGGGUCUCUGGGCAGUAACUGACGCUGAGGAGCGAAAGCGUGGGGAGCGAACAGGAUUAGAUACCCUGGUAGUCCACGCCGUAAACGGUGGGUACUAGGUGUGGGUUUCCUUCCUUGGGAUCCGUGCCGUAGCUAACGCAUUAAGUACCCCGCCUGGGGAGUACGGCCGCAAGGCUAAAACUCAAAGAAAUUGACGGGGGCCCGCACAAGCGGCGGAGCAUGUGGAUUAAUUCGAUGCAACGCGAAGAACCUUACCUGGGUUUGACAUGCACAGGACGACUGCAGAGAUGUGGUUUCCCUUGUGGCCUGUGUGCAGGUGGUGCAUGGCUGUCGUCAGCUCGUGUCGUGAGAUGUUGGGUUAAGUCCCGCAACGAGCGCAACCCUUGUCCUAUGUU